AACAAACGCUGGCGGCGUGCCUAAUACAUGCAAGUCGAACGGGGAAAGCUUUCGGGUGAGUACUAGUGGCGCACGGGUGAGGAACGCGUGGAUAAUCUGCCUUAGAGUGGGGGAUAACUAGUCGAAAGAUUAGCUAAUACCGCAUAAGACCACAGGAGCUGCGGCUCAAGGGGUCAAAGGUUUUUCGCUCUAAGAGUGAGUCCGCGUAAGAUUAGCUAGUUGGUGAGGUAACGGCUCACCAAGGCGACGAUCUUUAACUGGUCUGAGAGGAUGAUCAGUCAAACUGGAACUGAGACACGGUCCAGACUCCUACGGGAGGCAGCAGUAGGGAAUAUUGCACAAUGGAGGAAACUCUGAUGCAGCGACGCCGCGUGAGUGAUGAAGGCCUUCGGGUCGUAAAGCUCUGUCGCAGGGGAAUAACACAAUGAAGGUACCCUGUAAGAAAGGAUCGGCUAACUUCGUGCCAGCCGCCGCCGUAACAC
rnacentral:rRNA from 1 species